rnacentral:snRNA from 1 species
AUCGCUUCUCGGCCUUUUGGCUAAGAUCGAGUGUAGUAUCUGUUCUUACCAGUUUUAAUAUCUAGUAGGGUUGAAAUAGCAAGUUUUCUGCCUUGUCUGUAGAGGUGAGCUCUGCUUAUAGGGAAGUGGGAAGGGGAAUGAUGGUUGGGGAAACAAUGUUUGCCUCACCAAACUUUAAUAUGAUUUUAUUUAUGUAUUUGGGGAGGUGUCACCUUUA